rnacentral:rRNA from 1 species
AUUGAACGCUGGCGGCAGGCCUAACACAUGCAAGUCGGACGGUAGCACAGAGAGCUUGCUCUCGGGUGACGAGUGGCGGACGGGUGAGUAAUGUCUGGGGAUCUGCCCGAUAGAGGGGGAUAACCACUGGAAACGGUGGCUAAUACCGCAUAACGUCGCAAGACCAAAGAGGGGGACCUUCGGGCCUCUCACUAUCGGAUGAACCCAGAUGGGAUUAGCUAGUAGGCGGGGUAACGGCCCACCUAGGCGACGAUCCCUAGCUGGUCGGAGAGGAAGACCCGCCACACUGGAACUGGGACACGGUCCAGACUCCUACGGGAGGCAGCAGUGGGGAAUAUUGCACAAUGGGCGCAAGCCUGAUGCAGCCAUGCCGCGUGUAUGAAGAAGGCCUUCGGGUUGUAAAGUACUUUCAGCGGGGAGGAAGGCGAUGUGGUUAAUAACCGCGUCGAUUGACGUUACCCGCAGAAGAAGCACCGGCUAACUCCGUGCCAGCCGCCGCAGUAA